UGCAUAAAUUUAUUUCCAUUUUUAAAUUAUUUUGUCUAAACAUAGUGCCGUGGGAACUCGAGAGUGCCCAGAAAUGACCUUGGGCAUGCGAGAAAAUUCAAAGUUGAAAUUGACCUAUGAAGGCGGGAAGAGCGAAGAUGGGGAAUUGGAAAAUUGAAAAGUUUUCUUUGUCACGGAGGUGGGAAGAUCGAAGAUUGAAUAUUGUGUCAAAAUGCAUGGUGAUGAUGGUACAGCGUGUAGGGGCCGGCCUCUGCCUCUCAGGGAAACUACGGCGGGGACCCCCGACGCUCAAGCGCCGAAGCUCCAUCUUCUCUCGUCUCCUUGAACGCAUUCUAAACCACGACACUGAUUUUUAUUUUUGCCGGUGGUGCUGCAGCAGCUGAGAAUGGCAAUCUCCGUGAAUCCGAGACGUCUCUACAUACAUUCCACGCACGGACUUGCUUUGCAGCAAAACCAGAAACCCAAAUUUUUUCUCUUCGAGGAAUUGGUGAUAAAAAUCAAAACAACUCAGAUCCACUGAAAGCGAAGCUGGUUCAAUACUUUCAAAAGGAAAUUUCUGAAGUGGGUGUGUUGGAAACUGAGAUUGGAGAAAUGGGUCUGGUUUAUGUUACCGGGAAAUUGCUUCCGCUGAACUAAUUCGGGGCGACAGAAAUCUGAAAUAGCAGAGAAAGACUCCGAGACCCAAAAAUGAUGCAGAAUCUAGAAGCCAAUAGCUCCGCCAUUGAUGAGCACAUGAAUAGGAGAUGUUAAUCAAUGAGUCCAUGUCAAAUGGCACUUUGAGGGAUAACUCUUUCUGGUUCUCAGAUUCGCCCUUUGAGUUUAUUUAUUAAUCGAUUAAUUUAUUUUGUUUGUAUUAGCUUUCUUUUGUAUACCAUUCUGCGGUGACUUUGACAGUUUGCCAUUGCAGCUUAAAUUCUUAAUGCAAGUCUAGAGAGCCUCUUAAGUUUUGCAAUGAGAUUGAGAACUGCACUGGCUUCUGCCAAGGGUAUCCUCUACCUGCAUUCUGAAGAUGACCCUCCGUAUCUCAGAGAUAUAAGGCCAGCAACAUAUUCUUGGAUUCAAAAACUCUUGUAAAAUAUCAAAGAUGGAAAUUUAUUUUUUCUUUGUUAAUUUUGGCAAGGGAAAAUCAAAUGUUUGUCAAAGUGAUUUGAGAAUGUUUCAAAAUUUCAAGACGGUAAUCUUUGGGCUUGUGUUAGAAGUCUGGAGGGUCUGAGUUAGCAAUCUAGUCAUUUUGGUAACUAAGUCCCAUCAUUCUAAUUCAUAUGUUACUACUCAAAUGGGGUUUAAUCAAGAUUUCU